rnacentral:rRNA from 1 species
CCUGAGAAACCUAAAAGUUCGAAAAGAGAGAUUCAACGUCAGUAUGUAUUGUAUUCACGUGAGUAGUGAUGUAUGCACAUUUUCAUGUAAUUUUAUUGCAAUACUAUUGCCGGCGUGCACUUCUCUCUUAGUAGGACGUCCCGACCCGUUGAGUCUUGGCCUACGGCACAGACUUUGAUAUCUCGGUAUAAAGACCUCUGAUGUAUUCCUGGCUAAAGUAUUCGACGGGGUGUUGAGCCGCAUUAUGCGUCCGGCCUGUCGCAAGUUUUUGAUAUACCGUAUUACUAUAGACUAAGUGCUAUGUAUAUGGACUGUGCUUUAGGACUGGCUUAUUUCAUCUGUCAGGGACGCUUAGGCUUUGGGUACUCUCAGGACCCGUCUUGAAACACGGACCAAGGAGUCUAACAUGUACGCGAGUCAUUGGGUAUAUAUUUUCCAAACCUAAAGGCGUAAUGAAAGUAAAGGUUGAA